rnacentral:rRNA from 1 species
CCCGCUCAGAAACUUAAAUAGAAGUUGACGGGGCCCGCACAAGCGGAGGAGCAUGUGGUUUAAUUCGAUGAUACGCGAGGAACCUUACCUGGGCUCGAACGUAAGAUGACUGUAGGUGAAAGCUUACAUCUCUUCGGAGCAUUUUACGAGGUGCUGCAUGGUUGUCGUCAGCUCGUGCCGUGAGGUGUCGGGUUAAGUCCCAUAACGAGCGCAACCCUACCUUUAGUUGCCAUCAGGUAAUGCUGGGGACUCUAAAGGAACUGCCUACGCAAGUAGUGAGGAAGGCGGGGAUGACGUCAAAUCAGCACGGCCCUUACGUCCAGGGCUACACACGUGCUACAAUGGCCGAUACAGAGGGCAGCUACCUGGUGACAGGAUGCAAAUCUCCAAAGUCGGUCUCAGUUCGGAUCGGAGUCUGCAACCCGACUCCGUGAAGUUGGAUUCGCUAGUAAUCGCGCAUCAGCCAUGGCGCGGUGAAUACGUUCCCGGGCCUU